GCCUUGAAAGUACUGUAAGUGCAUGUGUGAGGCAAUAUUGUGAAUAAGUUUUGAAAGGCUUUUGAGAGUUUAUUUAAAAUCAUUUCCUGAAACGGACUCCCUUCAAUGGGUGGCUUGACGGCUUCGUCUCUGAACAAAAACUCCUUGUCAUGAUGGGCAUAAGAAAGGUGUCCAAGAAGAAACAGAAACAUAAAGAAGACUCAGGGAGGUGAAAUGGCUGGUCCUCUCAAACAAACGUGAUCUCUUCCAAUCCGAGCUCGAAGUCUCAUUCGUUUCCAUCUGUCUAUUUCACUCAUUCACGUCAAGGGGUUAAUUUAAUGGUCAUGAUUUUCACAUUAGUACCACCCACUAACUACCGCUUGAAUCUUAAACCCACCUCUUUGUUGUAUUUCGCCUUUUACGACAAGCCUGAAUCGCUCAACACCCUCCUCCUCCUCCUCCUCCUCCUUCUCCAUCGUCUCCAUCGUCUCCACCGCCUCCUUCGCUGUUGAAUUGAAGAUCAGAUCUUAAAUUGCUUCUCUGCAACGUGGGUACCUUUGGCAAAUCAAUGGGGAAUAUGCAGACUUUGGCUAAAUUUUGCGAAUAGAGUCUUGUCUUAUCUCGUGUCUUGA